GGAAUUUCUAGUGUAGCGGUGAAAUGCGUAGAUAUUAGAAAGAACACCGGUGGCGAAAGCGCUCUACUGGACCAUUACUGACACUCAGAGGCGAAAGCUAGGGUAGCAAAAGGGAUUAGAUACCCCUGUAGUCCUAGCCGUAAACGAUGGAUACUAGAUGUUGUGCGUCAUGUACAGUAUCGUAGCUAACGCGUUAAGUAUCCCGCCUGGGGAGUACGCUCGCAAGGGUGAAACUCAAAGGAAUUGACGGGGGCCCGCACAAGCGGUGGAGCAUGUGGUUUAAUUCGAUGCAACGCGAAGAACCUUACCAGGGCUUGACAUACUACAAAUUCUUUUGAAAAAAAGAAGUGCCUUCGGGAAUGUAGAUACAGGUGGUGCAUGGCUGUCGUCAGCUCGUGUCGUGAGAUGUUGGGUUAAGUCCCGCAACGAGCGCAACCCUUAUUUUUAGUUACCAAUUCGUUGGGCUCUCUAGAAAGACUGCCGGUGACAAACCGGAGGAAGGUGAGGAUGACGUCAAGUCAGCAUGCCCCUUAUGUCCUGGGCUACACACGUGCUACAAUGGCUAAGACAAAGAGUCGCGAGCUCGCAAGAGUCAGCUAAUCUCAUAAACUUAGCCUAAGUUCAGAUUGUAGGCUGCAACUCGCCUACAUGAAGUUGGAAUCGCUAGUAAUCGCUGGUCAGCCAUACAGCGGUGAAUCCGUUCCCGGGCCUUGUACACACCGCCCGUCACACCAUGGGAGCUGGUCAUACCCGAAACCGUUUGCUCAACCGUAAGGAGAGCGGCGUCUAAGGUAGGGCUAGUGACUGGGGUGAAGUCGUAACAAGGUAACCGUA
rnacentral:rRNA from 1 species